rnacentral:lncRNA from 1 species
GUCCGAGACUCAAAGCAUGAAAAGAAUUCAUGGCACCAUUGCUGGCUUCAAGAGGGAUGAGACCAUAUGAAAGGAAUUCAGGCUAUCUCUGGAGCUGAGCACAACCCCCAGGUCACAUCCAACAAAGAAACAGGGACCUCAGUCCUAUAAACACCACCAACAGAAUGAACUUGGAAGCAGAUUUUCCCCCAGAGCAUCCAGAUAAGAACUCAGUCCACUCAACAUCUUCAGCUUUGUGAUAUUCCAGGCAUAUUGUGCUGAACUUCUGACUUACAGAACUACUGUACGCAUUGGGCAAACUAGUUUCUGCAGUUAGCGCUGUGCCCAAAAAGGCCUUGUCUCCACUCAAGCUAAAAAAAAAAGAAUCCAGAAAGCCUGGAAGAUACUUUUCCAAGAAUUUAUUUUCUGUUUAGAUUCUACCCCUGAAAGUCAGUCCUGAAAGGAUUAUAAAAGCAAGAAAGAAACAUGGACUCUAAGAAUUAACAACAGUGUGGGAAGCCACGGAGGAGAUUUAUGACUACCCUAAAUUGGUUUGUGUUUGGAUGGAUGACUAUUUCCUGCUCUUUAUUACUAGAAAUUGGCAGCAACAUCUCAGAUUGGAUAAUGGUACUGGUGGAAUAAUUACCAGAAAGAAAAAAACAUCCCCACUAAAGUGAUGAAAACAUGUACAGAUUGUCCAACCUUUUGCUUUUGUACCACUUCCCCUUCCAGAUGUCAGGGUUGUGAUUUAUUUCUCCCUAAGAGUUUAAAAAUAAAACUCUCAUCAUAAAAUUUGCCUGAUACUGAUGAAAAAUAAGAUGUAGUAAUUUAG